GCCAAAGCCAUAUCACCCUGCAGCCCAAGACCAGUUACUCACUGAAGCCAAGCAGGGCUGAGCCUGGUCAGUACGUGGAUGGGAAACCACAUGGGAAAACUAGGUUGCUGUUGGAA
rnacentral:rRNA from 1 species